rnacentral:lncRNA from 1 species
GAUUUUUAACUUUUUUCCAUCAAUGAUCAACUCUGCUUAACUCUUGGAUGCUAGCUUUUCUUUUGUCUUCUGGAUGCUAGCUUCUCAAACAAUACGAUGCUGGUUGGAUUUAGUGGCAUAUCUAUGACGGCUUCGGUAUGUGAGUCUCACAGCCAUGGUGAUUGUUGUUUCAAUUGGAUUUUUUAAGACUUGGUAAUUCCACUCAAUUUGGUGAAGAAUUUAUUUUCUUGUUUCAAUUCAAUUUGUUUGUGAAAACUUGAUAACCCCACUACAUCAUUUGUCUUGCCUGUGAAGUGUUUGUUUAAUUGUUUCAAUUGGAAUUGAAAACUUGGUGGGUGACGUUAAACUCCUUUGACUGAUUUUGUUUGAAGGCUUAUUGUUGGUUAGCACUACUUUAUUUUGUUCUAAGACCAUCAGAUUGAAAAAUUGUGAAUUCUUGUAUUUGAUAUGGCUGCUUCUAUUGCUCCUCUCCCUGUUGGUUAUGGUAUUGGUCCUAUAUACUCACACGAGACUACUUCACCAGUGUUUGAUCUUGCUGAGAAGUUCCAAAAUUUUCUUGCUGCUCAGCCUCAUGCCACAUCUGUCUCUUAUGUUAAAGGUUUGACUCCCUCUAACUUGUCAGAUAUAUCUUCUUCUAUAUGGAUAUUUGAUUCUGGAGCAUCACAUCAUAUGUCGUAUGAUCGUAAGUCCUUUUUGUCUUUAAAUCCUACAUCAUCUAUGUCGGUUAUGACUGCUGAUGGCACUC